GUUUGCAUUAAAUUCAGACGAAUAUAAUGACAUUUACCUCACUCUGAGAAAUUAUAUAUACUGGAGGGGCUGCUGGGCGGGUGUACACCGCAUUACACGGUGUCCUUCUUGCCUCAGCGCCCUCUGGGGGCCUGUCUGCCAACCCUGCCAGUGGUCCCCAGUGAGCAUCGUUCUCAGUAUUUUCCGCCUGUGCACGUAGCGGGGCUGAGACGCUUGCUGCCCCUGCGGGGGCCUCUUACACCAGAGGUCAGUCUCGAGAGACUGAUUGCCUUAGUAGAUUAUUUAGCAGUGUGUGAACUACUGCCAAAUGUAUCUCAAUGGGUCCUGCACACAGUAGAAAAAGCUACCGUAUUCAGUUCGGCUCUGCACCGCCGAUAUUCAACGGGGUCAUUCCGACUAUAGUCGGCCCCAGGCAGGGUCUGGUUAUGGAACAGGAAGUGAAAACCCUAUUAGAGAAGGAGGCCAUCGAGGUGGUCCCUCCUCAAGACAGGGAGUCCGGGUUCUACAGCCGGUAUUUCACAGUUCCAAAGAAGGAUGGGGGGCUGCGUCCGAUUAUAGACUUGAGGGUCUUAAAUCGUUCAGUUAUGAGACUGAAGUUCAAAAUGCUCACAAUCAAGCAUGUUGUAGGUCAGAUCAGGUCCGAGCACUGGUCUGUCACAAUAUAUUUCAAAGAUGCACACUUCCACAUUUCCAUCUUUCCACAACACAGGAAGUUUCUGAGUUUCGCUUUCGGGGGCGAAGCCUACCAAUAUCGAUUACUUCCCUUCGGCCUUGCACUCUCACCCCGCACGUUCACAAAAUGUGUACACACAGCUCUGGUUCCCUUGCGCAUGCAGGGCAUCCGCAUUCUGAACUAUUGGUUGAUUUUAGCUCAGUUAGAGCAGGUUGCGGCUCGGCAUGGAGAUACAUAUGGGGGAGCUGGGUUUGAGACUGAACGCCAAGAAGAGUGUACUUUCUCCGGCUCAGAGAACCACCUAUCUAGGCGUAGUAUGGGAUUCGACCGUGAAGCAGGAACAAUUGUCCCCUGCUCGUAUAAAGACGAUCCUCAUCUCAGUCGAGAGAGUCAAAGAAGGCCAGUCACUCACUGUCAAACAAUUUAAAAGAUUGUUGGGUCUGAU
rnacentral:lncRNA from 1 species